rnacentral:rRNA from 1 species
UACGUAGGUGGCAAGCGUUGUCCGGAUUUACUGGGCGUAAAGAGCGCGCAGGCGGUCGUUCAAGUCGCGUGUGAAAGCCCCCGGCUCAACUGGGGAGGGUCACGCGAUACUGAUCGACUCGAAGGCAGGAGAGGGUAGUGGAAUUCCCGGUGUAGUGGUGAAAUGCGUAGAUAUCAAGAGGAACACCUGCGGCGAAGGCGGGUUGCUGGGCCGACACUGACGCUGAGGCGCGAAAGCCAGGGGAGCGAACAGG